GCAGAGGGGUAAGAUGUAGCUGCUAGAGUUUCCCAGUAUCAUGGUGGAUCUGCAAAGAUUCACCACUGGAGGAAUCAGAUUUUAAUAAGGCUUACAAGAUUAGGUUUUAGUUGUUGUGCCCAGAGACUGAGUUACCAUUGUUUCUGAACUAAGUUUGUGUUGCAUUUUCCUUCACACAGCGGCUCAUCCAGGUUCAAGAGAAAAAGUUAUGGCGGCAAAGCAUGAGUUUGCCUAAUGUGCACCACAAAGGCCGUGGAGAAUUUGAAGCAUGAGGCUGGCAUGACCACAAAACCCCCAAAGAGACCACCACAACUCCGGUACAAGAACACGAGAGUCUUUAUUUGAGUUCGAGCUCCUGCCACAAACCACCCCAACUCAGCAGGCUAUGCAAAGACAUACUGACAGAAUAGUAGAUCCAGGAGUGAAAGAAACCCUGAAAGCCAUCAAUGUUCAUCUGCGGCAAAAUUCCUGAAAGCGAAAGACUCCCUGGAGCGCAUCUAACCAAGGAUGGGAAGCAUUUAUCGAGAAAUGACAUUUCCCCUGCCAUCAGCUGCCUUUGUGGAUGGCUCCAUCUGAGUUUCCUGGCAACAAUUUUAAAUAUGAAAGUGUCAAGCUCCGUGCUUAUGGAAGAUGACCUGCACCGGGGCCGAGCCUCUGCUGAGCCUGUGAUGAGCUGUUUGAGAGAGGGAUCAAUGGCUUGCAGGUUACCAGGCAGAGUAAUGAAAAGAACUGGGACGAAUGCAAGCAAAAGUCAGCUGGAGAAAUAAGGCUAUUGAGUGAGAAUGGCUACCAGGAGGGCAAAGCUGCAGGAAGCGGGGACAUGGGGCAGUAGGCAGUUACUGGUAGACACUGAGUGGGAAUGACCAGGCUUCUCUGAACAGUAAAGCCUUAUUAACUUUGAACCUUAGAUGAAAUGACUUUCUGUGGUCUUGCUGGCUCCCAAAAUCACUCUUGCCCCUGACAUGCAUUAAAGAUCAAAAUUCACAUGGCCUGAAAAGGCUUAGGCUUAUAACAUGCAACACAUUUCAAAUAUAAAACUGAACACACC
rnacentral:lncRNA from 1 species